CAUUCUUUGUCCUGAGCAUAGGUCAGCGGAGAUGCAAAUCAAGCAAUGAAAAAGCAGGUUCUGUCUCAAAGGUAGCUGCCCUCCAGACUUGGACUUGAGCCUGGAGCAGCCAGAUUCAGCCAGAUUUAGCCAGAUUCAGCCAGCUCCAGCUUCCCAAAGACAGAGAGGAUGGCAAAUGCUUAAGACCCCAACUACAGGUGCCUGGCACAGGAGGACAAUGAUAUGAAGCAUGAAGAAUUGAGAGAGGUCAUUUUAUUUUAUUCUUGAUUCGUAGACUACUUCUGGACAGAUAAUGAAAGGCUUGACAAGACACUAAAAUCAUCAACUACCCAAUGAAGUUUUUCUAAGGAAUAAAAACACUGGAAAUAUGCAUCUGGCACACAAGCAACCUAGCUCCUGCCCACUUCAUCUGGGUAGAACGUCACCAUUGAGAUAACACAGGUCAUGCUUGGUGAUACCUGCUCAGCCUGGACCCUCCUUCUCAUCACCCUCUAUAAGUCAGAGAUCCUUCAUGAUAAUACCAACAGAGGACUUCAUUCCUUCCAGCUUCUGAGAAGAAGCUGAGGUCUAGAAGACUGAGAUGACUUGUUAAAGGUCACAUGCCUGGACAGUGACAAAACCCACAUGGAAUCCGGUCUUGACCUUCCCCUAAAAAAUGUCUUCAUUUUAUCUUGACCAGCAGGGCACCUGUCCUCACCCUGUAUGGUGAGCACCAUUCAUGGCAAAGCUCUGGACAGCUAUGUUAGCUUAGAAGGAUUUGCACAGCCUGUGGCCAUAUUCCUGGGAGUCUCUUUUGCCAAGCCCACCUUGGAUCCCUAAGAUUUGCUCCACCAGAGCCUGCAAAGCCCUGGAGCUUUGUGAAGAAUGCCACCUCCUAUCCACUCAUGUAAAUUGCAGGGAUAGGCCUGAGUGUCUUUAAGUGGAGAUGUUUAGUGUGCAGCAGUAAAGAGACAAGGUAAUUCUCUGGUCAGCUGUACUUUAUUCUAAAAUUCUCGAGAAUGCUGUAAAGACAUUCUAGAAUGGUCACAGCUUUUUGGAGUCCUUUACUAGAUGUGUAUAAAUUGAGCACCUGCAAUAUGCCUGGUUUAGAUUCUAUUAGGGAAUAAACCAAUAACUCUUAUUCUCAUGAAGUUUAUAUUCAACAGGUGGAGAAAGAUGAUGUACUGUAUAUGAAUUAAUAAAGCAAUUAUAUAUGGGGUUAUGAUAUGAUCAAUGUUUGAAAAUGCUCAUUCAGUAAAGUUGAAAGAAUAUUUAACCAA